rnacentral:lncRNA from 10 species
AGGAAGUGACUGGUUAUUUAAGAAAGAGGGAUGUCUAGAAUGAAACAGGAAGCCCAAGCAUGUAUAAAUGACUUGUAUCGAGUUUUCUAUAAUUAAAGGGAAAUUAUUUAUAAUAGCGUUUCUAGAGAUUGGGUUUGAUACAAAAAUACACUUAUACACUCAAUAAUUGGUUAGAACAAUGACAUUUUUAAAUGUACAGAUUGACUCUUAAUAAAAUUACAAGAGAUUUCUUUUUAUUUUAAACCCAAAGUUCAACUCUUAUUGUGUCUUGCUGUUUUCAGUUUUCCCUUCCCUUUGAAAAGCCCUGAGAUAAUAACUCUCUCCUUCAACUCAUUAUCAGCUCCUGGAAUUUUUUUUCCUCGGGUUCUAACUAUUUGUUAUAGUUUGAUGCUAAAAAUGUUUUAUCUUAAAGUUCAAAAGGAAAUGUUUUCUUCCAACAUAACAUUCUGUGCUUCUGGCUUUAAAUUGUUCUAUGAGUCUGAAAAUUUGCACUUAUUACCCAGGAAACACUCUUCUUAUGUCUAACUAAUUGAAGUACUCUUUUCAUUAGUUUUGACUUGGCAGGUUACCUAAAUGGAUUCCCCAGAGGGAACAACAAUCGCACUGCAGAAGGUCUUCUCUUUGCCUUUUGCUACAGGACUCUGACAGGUGCUCUCGAAGGCAGGUGUUUAAUAACUUUGGAGACUGUGACACUAGAAUAGAGGAAAAACUUCCAAGACUCUCAUAGACAGGAUACAGUUGAGGACAAUGGUAAUUUAACCAAGUCUUUGACUGGAGUUGCAUACUUUCAGAUAUAAAGAAACUGCUUUAAGGGAUCAGAGUUGACUUAGAAAGCCAAUAAAAGCCCCUUUGGAAAGCUGGCCUCCUACCUUGUCUACCCAGUUCUUGUACAGGUUUCUGACCUGUGCUGUGCCUUCUUAAAGGCUGGAGCCUGGAGCACAUGAGGAGAAUUCACAGAAGUGCCUGGAAAGGGAACUGCGGUGGAUCUUACAGAGACUUGAAACAUGUGGAGAAGUUUGGCUUUUAUUCAUAAAGGACAAAGUGCUGCCUCCACCUCCCCACCUGUCUAGUUUUAUUCAGUGAUGUCUAUCCUCAUGACUUGGGCCAUUUUCAUCAUCACGUCUAUUUGGUUACCUAGGUCUGCCGUUUUUUGUUUUUGUUUUUUCCCAAAUGCUUUCCACAUAAGAUGGCCUAGGUGUCAAUUGCUUAUCUCAGUGGAAUCAUUUCUACUCACCUAUAAAAUGGGAGUAAUAAAAAUGCUAUGUAUCCGAUUGUUGUGAGGAUGAAAUGGGAAUACUUGGACAUGGGGCCUGGUUGCUGGUGGAGGCAUCUGCUCUGUUCCCUGCUGCAUCCCUCACUUCCUGCCAUCCUCUUGCCCCACUUCUGCAGUGCUGAGUGACAGGCCCACAGCCUCCAUGCCCUCCUGUUCCUUCCUUCUCUGCUGAUCUUUUCUGUUUCCAGACACAUCUGCCACUACUGUCUGGUCCAAACACUCUUUCACCUAGGAAGUUUAAGCACGUUGUUGAACUAGAAAUAAUGUAUUCACUCAGUUACUUAUACACACAUUCUUUUCCCACUCAUUAAAAGUGGUUUGAAAAAUUUAUUUCAUUGUUCUUAAAGUGCUGAAUCAAGUGUUUUUCCUUUGGUUGGGAAAGGCCUUUGCCGUUUACCUUCAUCCACUCAUUCAUUUGUGAAGAUGUGUGUGCAGGCCCUAUGGUGACAGUGUCUGUCUAAAGUGAAGAGCUCAGCACCCAAACUCUAGAACAUCUGAAAACGUAGCUAGAUCCUGUGUUCUCUUCUCUAACAGAGUUAAAGUUAAGGUGCAUUUACUCAGUGCCUAGGGGGUAAAAAUGUGCGGUUCAGACUUCAACCAUGUGGGUGCUGUUUUUACCCAGAAUACCAACUGAUUCCAGGAAAGAGUAUUAGGAGAUUCAAGAUUUCUAUUUCUUUUGAACAUAUGUUAUUAGAGUUAAUUGUUAGGAAACUAUUUUAAAGAUAAUUAUUUGAAUACUGAAAAUGACUUUGAUUUCUAACAGGAAGCCAGGCUCACUUGUUACUUCCACAUAUGUGAUGAAGGCAAAAGACCACAGUUGCAUACAUUUGCAUAGUUAUCCUCGAGACUGGAAAUGUCAGUAAGAUGCAAUUGAUUGACUUGCUGAUUGUCUUUCCUCAUGUGAGCGUCUUUUCCAUGUUCAUGACCCACCACUGAUAUUCUGUGGAACUGAACUAAAACUAUGGUCCCCGAAGCCUUGUUGGGGGUGUGGAGGAAGGCGAGAGAGUGGAGGGGAGGGGACGGACACAGUAUUCCUGUCAGGGUGCAGCUGCAGCUCUGCUCCAAGGCACACUUUUCCUCUGGAUUCCACAGAAUUUCUCCCAGGGUCAUCCUUCUCCAGUAGCAGCCCCUCCACCUGGAGCAUCACUGGUGGGCAGUUGUGGCGUCAGGCACUGUCUCUGCCCUCAUCUGCUCUGGCUGGGGCAGCAGGAUUGAUUUCAUUCAAAAGACAACUGGUUUUCAUGGCAGGGGCUAUAGUGAGCAGAGCAGAGAACAGGCACUUGGGCGUCCUACUGGCUUUCUUCUUGCCUGAGGCUAGUCCUCCUUGAGCCAAUCCUAUGUCUCCUAGAGCACUUAGUUGUCCCUCUGUACUUUCAACCUCUGGCUCCCGCCCUAUAGUCAUAAAUGUGCUAGAGGCUUAAAACAAAUGCCUCACCACCACCUUUUAUCUCGCCUACCAACAAGUACCCCCCAAAAUUAGGGUUAGCUGAGCAUGGUGUCUCAUGCCUGUAAAUCCCAGCACUUUGGGAGGCCGAGGCAGGAGGAUCACCUGAGCUCAGGAGUUCCAGACCAGCCAGGGCAACAAAGUGAGACCCUGUCUCUAGAAAAAAAAAAAAAAAUUUAGCCAAGCAUGGUGGCACACAGCUGUAGUCCCAGCUACUUAGGAGGCUGGAGGACCACUUGAGCCUGGGAGGUCGAGGCUAUAGUGAGCUGUGAUUGUGCCACUUCACUCCAGCCUGGGCAACAGAGUGAGACCCUGUCUCAUAAAAAAGAAAAUUAAGGUCAUAUUUGCUGUUUACUUCUCUAUCUUCCAUUCAUUUCUUUUUGGUGACAGCUUAAUUGAGAUAGAAUCCAACAUAUCAUACAAUUCACCCAUUGAAGUGUAUAAUUCAAUAGUUCUUAAUAUAUUCACAGAUUGCCAUCAACCCCAAAGGAAACCCUGUGGCCAUUAGCAGUCACUCCCAUUCCCUCCUCUGCUCAGCUGUAGGUAACCACUAAUCAACUUUUUGUCUAUUC